AUAUUAUAUAUAUAAAAUAUACUCAGUUCAAAUGAGUUAAAGCAUGGAAAAUGCCUUGCAAUGCAUCAAUUAUCAUCAUUCAUUCAUUCAUUCAAAUUUUAGUCAUUUGACAUAAUGGUAAGGACAGAAUAUCAGGAGCAAUGACUGUGCUUUUCUGUUCUGAAUGUCUGUCUCCACCACAUUUUUGCCUCCCACUUGACUAUUGUUUAUAGGGCUGUGUAAUGCAAUAUAUGCAUUUAAAGUCCAGCCAUUGUUCACCCUUGUUUGCUGCAUGACCUCGUGCCCAGUGCAUUGACCACCCUGGCCUUUUGUGGAGCUCUUCAUUUGCCUGGAAGAGCCAACACAUCUUUUUCUGUGACCCAAUUGGUCAGCAAAAGCUAAUGUUUUCCCAUCUUCUCUUAGGUCGGCAUUCAUUUGUGUUGCUCAUGGCCAACAUCUUUGUGUUGAUUUUCACAGAUAGCUCAUUAUAGCUUAGCUUUAUAUGGAAGGAUCUGAAAGGUGCUAAGGCUCCUUUGGUUUUUCUGAUACAAACUAUGUCCAUAUUGAGAAUCUACUAGGUUUGUGACCCAGGGAAAUAUAUUUCCGUGUCUAUUUGAUUCAAUCCAGUUUAUAUUCAAUUUCAAUUCUCAGGAUAGGAAGGGGGAGGUUUGAAGGAACAAAAUUUUAUUAAGUGCUGUAGGGGAAAAUUAUUUAUUAUAUUUAGAAAAAUCAUUACAUUGUUUGAAUCUAACCUUAUGUUGUCUGUAUUCAGGUUGUCCUCUGACCUCAAUAACUCUUCAGGAAUGAUAGAGAAGGCUAAAACAUAUGUUGGAUUCCCCAGGUCCUGAAGCCACCCAGAACAUUCUUACUCUCCAUGAGAUGCUAUGUUUGCUGCUCAUUGGAACAGAGAGAUGCUCGCAGACACUACUCCAACACUCCACAGCUCCUUCCUUACAAGAACACUCCUGGGCUAGACAAGGAGGGAGCAGGCAUUGAUUAAGUGCCAACUAUGUGCCAGGUAUUGUG
rnacentral:lncRNA from 1 species